rnacentral:rRNA from 1 species
CUGACCUGCCCAGUGAUGAAUUUAACGGCCGCGGUAUAUUGACCGUGCAAAGGUAGCAUAAUCAUUAGUCUUUUAAUAGAGGGCUGGAAUGAAAGGUUUAACGAGGAACUGACUGUCUCAUUUUAUUUGUUUUAAAAUUUAAUUUUUUAGUUAAAAAGCUAAAAUUUUAUUGGAAGACGAGAAGACCCUAUAGAUCUUUAUAGAGUUAUAUUUAAUUACUAUUAUAUAAAUGUAAUUAUUUAUUUUUCUAUUUUGUUGGGGUGACAAAAAUAUAUAAUUAACUUUUUUAUUUAUGUAACAUUAAUUUAUGAGUAUAUGAUCCAUUAUUAGUGAUUAAUAGACUAAGUUACCUUAGGGAUAACAGCGUAAUCCUCCUCCAGAGUUCAUAUUUACAGGAUGGGCUUGCGACCUCGAUGUUGGAUUAAGAUAAUAAUCAGGUGUAACCGCUUGAUUUAUAGGUCUGUUCGACCUUUAA